GCUGGUCUGAGAGGAUGACCAGCCACACUGGGACUGAGACACGGCCCCAGACUCCUACGGGGAGGCAGCAGUGGGGAAUAUUGGACAAUGGGCGAAAGCCUGAUCCAGCCAUGCCGCGUGAGUGAUGAAGGUCUUCGGAUCGUAAAGCUCUGUGGGGAAGGGACGAAAAAGCCUAACCUAAUACGUUAGGUCUUGACGGUACCUUCUUAGCAAGCACCGGCUAACUCCGUGCCAGCAGCCGCGGUAAUACGGAGGGUGCAAACGUUGCUCGGAAUUAUUGGGCGUAAAGCGCACGUAGGCGGUCCGCUAAGUCGGAUGUGAAAGCCCUCGGCUUAACCGAGGAAGUGCAUCCGAAACUGACGGGCUAGAGUACGGAAGAGGGUUUCGGAAUUCCCGGUGUAGAGGUGAAAUUCGUAGAUAUCGGGAGGAACACCAGUGGCGAAGGCGGAAACCUGGGCCGAUACUGACGCUGAGGUGCGAAAGCGUGGGGAGCGAAACAGGAUUAGAUACCCUGGUAGUCCACGCCGUAAACGAUGAGCGCUAGGG
rnacentral:rRNA from 1 species